GCGCGGGUAACAGAGCCUGGUUCAUGUGACGGAUUGCAAAUCUGUAUACGGUGGUUCAAAUCCAUCCCCGCGCUCCA
rnacentral:tRNA from 1 species